rnacentral:rRNA from 1 species
GGAGGAAAAGAAACCAACUGGGAUUCCCUUAGUAACGGCGAGCGAACAGGGAAGAGUCCAGCGCCGAAUUCCACGUUCGUACGGACGUUUGGGAAAAUGUGGCGUUUAGGAGGAAGCGUGCCGGAGGUUGGCUCUGCAGCAAGUCCCCCUGACCGGGGCUGUUACCCAGAGCGGGUGCGAGGCCCAUAGCUGCUAGGUCUCCUCCGGAUGCGACCUCUUGGGAGUCGGGUUGCUUGGGAGUGCAACCCUAAUCGGGUGGUAAACUCCACCUAAGACUAAAUACGGCCGUGAGACCGAUAGCAAACAAGUACCGUGAGGGAAAGUUGCAAAGAACUUUGAAGAGAGAGUUCAAGAGUACGUGAAACUGCUCAGAGGCAAACGGGUGGGCCCUCGAAAUCCUGUGGCGGGGGGAUUCAGUCAGGAGGGGCGGAGGUGUUCGCCGGUCGUUUUAGACGGACCCUCUCCAGGCCGGGCCGGCGGCACGGUCUCCUCUCCGCCUGACGCAUUUCCUCCCGCACGAAGGACGCCGCAGCCGGUUGGGUAGCUGCGCGAGUCGGCCUUAAGGGCGGACGCGGAAGGUGGCCGGUGGCGUGGCUUCGGCCUCGCCGCCGGUUGUUAGCCAGUCCGUCCGUGGCGCGACACCCGACCGAGGUUACGACGGUCCCUUUCUGGGGACUUCGCCGUCCCCCACCGCUCGGUGGUGGGCGCUCCGACAUGCACGUCCGGGCGAUGCCGCGUCACUCCCCGAGUGGCCGGCACGUCAGGUCUGCCAGUUGGUCGGAAGCGACCCGCGGGGGCUCCGGCGGCUAGCGGCGAGUAGGUCGGUCACCCACCCGACCCGUCUUGAAACACGGACCAAGGAGUCUAACAUGUGCGCGAGUCACGGGGUCUUGCUUAGGCCCAGAGGCGCAAUGAAAGUGAAGGUCGGCCUCGACGUCGACUGUGUUGGGACUCUCCGUCCGCUCCCGGGCGGGGAAGCACCAACGACCCGUCCUAUCCGAUUCAUCGGUUGGGCGGAGUCUGAGCGUACACGUUGGGACCCGAAAGAUGGUGAACUAUGCCUGGGCAGGACGAAGCCAGAGGAAACUCUGGUGGAGGUCCGUAGCGGUUCUGACGUGCAAAUCGAUCGUCAGACCCGGGUAUAGGGGCGAAAGACUAAUCGAACCAUCUAGUAGCUGGUUCCCUCCGAAGUUUCCCUCAGGAUAGCUGGCGCUCGGAGGAAUCAGUCUCAUCCGGUAAAGCGAAUGAUUAGAGGCCUUGGGGCCGAAACGACCUCAACCUAUUCUCAAACUUUAAAUGGGUGAGAAGUCCGGCUUGCAUGACUGAAGCCCGGACGUUAGGAUGAGAGCGCCCAGUGGGCCACUUUUGGUAAGCAGAACUGGCGCUGUGGGAUGAACCAAACGCCGGGUUACGGCGCCCGAUGCGAGACGCUCAUGAGACCCCAUGAAAGGUGUUGGUUGCUAUAGACAGCAGGACGGUGGCCAUGGAAGUCGGAAUCCGCUAAGGAGUGUGUAACAACUCACCUGCCGAAGCAACUAGCCCUGAAAAUGGAUGGCGCUCCAGCGUCGAGCCCAUACCCGGCCGCUGCGGCAGAGCUUCUUCGCGAGGCUUACGCCACAGUGAGUAGGAGGGUCGCAGCGGCGAGCGUUGAAGGUGCCGGGCGUGAGCCCGCCUGGAGCCGCCGCUGGUGCAGAUCUUGGUGGUAGUAGCAAAUACUCAAGUGAGAACCUUGAGGACUGAGGUGGAGAAGGGUUCCAUGUGAACAGCAGUUGAACAUGGGUCAGUCGGUCCUAAGGGAUAGGAGAAAUCCGUUCCGAAGCGGGACGUUGAGCUUGUCGAAAUAGCGAGUUCGUCCCGCUACCGACCGAAAGGGAAUCGGGUCAAUAUUCCCGAACCCGGACACGGAGAUCGGGCCUUCGGGUCCAAGUGCGGUAACGCAACCGAACUCGGAGAAGUCGACGGGAGUCCCGGGAAGAGUUGUCUUUUCUUUGUAAGGGCUCGGGUCCCUGGAAUCGGCUCGUCCGGAGAUAGGGAUGCUGUUCCCGUAAAGCACCGCGGCUCUUGCGGUGUCCGGAGCGCUCCUGUCGGCCCUUGAAAAUCCGAGGGAGAAAGUGUGAUUUUCGUGCCGGACCGUACCCAUAUCCGCAGCAGGUCUCCAAGGUGAACAGCCUCUAGUCGAUA